rnacentral:snRNA from 1 species
AUACUUACCUGGUGCUGGGUCGGUGGUCAUCAUUGAGGCCGCGGCCCCGUGCGGAGCCCUCUCCUAUGCACGGCGGUUGGCUGAAGGCCGCCACUUCCCCAGGUCGGGGUAGCUGGAGCAUGCAAUUUUUGGUAGUGGGGCUAGGAGUGCGCACCCGACCGCA